CACGUAGGGUGCGAGCGUUGUCCGGAAUUAUUGGGCGUAAAGAGCUCGUAGGCGGUGUGUCGCGGUCGGCCCGUGAAAACCUGCAGCUUAACUGUGGGUCUGCGGGUGGAUACGGGCAGGGCUAGAGGCAGGUAGGGGAGAACGGGAAUUCCCGGUGUAGCGGUGAAAUGCGCCAGAGUAUCGGGGAGGAACACCGGGUGGCGAAGGCGGCUAACUGGUCCGGAUCUGACGCUGAGGUGCGAAAGCGUGGGGAGCGAACAGG
rnacentral:rRNA from 1 species